UCGCCUGUUUUUUAAAAAACAUGGCCCUUUGCUAAGUUAUAAAGGGUCGUACCUGCACAAUGGCCUAGAAGUAGGCUAAAUUGCCGCGGUAACCUGACCGUGCGAAGGUAGCGCAAUCAUUUGCCUAUUAAUUGUUGGCCUGUAUAAAUGGUUUGACGCUGGUAACGCUGUCUCACUUGUAGUUAUUUGAAUUUGACUUUUGGGUGAAAAGGCCCAAAUAAGCCUGAAAGACGAUUAGACCCUAUCGAACUUUAAGUGGAUUUGCUUUAACUUGAUAGUGUUAAAAGUAGUUAAGCUUUUGGUUGGGGUAACCGGAGGUUAUAAAAAACACCUCCCUUUGUAAUAAACACCCGUUUUACAAAAUAGAGUGAACUCUAUUUUAGGGCAAUUGGCCUGAAGGAAAGUAACUUGAUAAGAUAAUUAAAAGUCCGACAGGACAUAAAUGACUUAUAUAAUGAACCUAAAGAUCUACUGGAAAGUAGAAAGCUGUUAAUUGGGAAUAGUUACCGUAGGGAUAACAGCGUUAUCCUCCUGGCGAGACCAUAUUAAGGGGAGGGUUUGCGACCUCGAUGUUGGCUUAAGACUUCCAAGGAGUGCAGGGCUCUAAGGGUGUCUC
rnacentral:rRNA from 1 species